rnacentral:rRNA from 1 species
AUGCCCUGUACACAUUUGCGCCAGCAGCAAACCAGUAGUAGCACCAACGCAUCUCGCAAGCCACCGGUGUCCGCCUCCGUGGCUAACUAUACAAGUACGACUCCCCAGGACCCCAACGACCCAAUAGCUAGCAAACAAGGAACGAACACCCCCAUACGAUUCCCACGGCUCAAGGCAGAGGAAGACCGGGAAGAGAUACCCAUGGUGGAAUCGCCGUACCGUCUUCGGCAUCGCCGGCUGAUGGACACCGUGCCUGCGACGGCGAGCGGUGAUCCAGCGCCAGGACAUGGCGGCUCCAACGGGAUGCCGAUCAUGGUCUCCAUCCUGGUGGUGGUCAUCAUCUGCACCCUCUUCUACUGCGUUUACUGCUGGAGAUGGAGGAAGCGCAACGCUGUGAAGAGGGCUCAUCUAGAGAGGCUGAGGCCGCUCUCCAACUCGGACCUGCCGGUGAUGGACCUCUCCACCAUCGCCGCCGCCACCAACGGUUUCUCCAAGGAGAACAAGCUCGGCGAAGGCGGCUUCGGCCCCGUCUACAGGGGCGUGCUGGACGGCGGCGCGGAGAUCGCGGUGAAGCGGCUGUCGGCGCGGUCGCGGCAGGGCGCGGCGGAGUUCCGGAACGAGGUGGAGCUGAUCGCCAAGCUGCAGCACCGGAACCUGGUGAGGCUGCUGGGGUGCUGCGUGGACAAGGACGAGAAGAUGCUCGUCUACGAGUACCUCCCCAACCGGAGCCUCGACGCCUUCCUCUUCGGUACCAGAAAGACCGCGCACUUGGACUGGAAGAUGAGGCAGAGCAUCGUGGUGGGGAUCGCGCGCGGGCUGCUGUACCUCCACGAGGACUCGUGCCUCAAGAUCGUCCACAGGGACCUCAAGGCCAGCAACGUGCUCCUCGACAACAAGAUGAACCCCAAGAUCUCCGACUUCGGCAUGGCCAUGAUCUUCGAGGACGAGGAGAUCGAGGUCAUCAACACCGGCCACGUCGUCGGAACAUACGGGUACAUGGCGCCCGAGUACGCGAUGGGGGGCGUCUUCUCGGUGAAGUCGGACGUGUACAGCUUCGGGGUGCUGGUGCUGGAGAUCCUCAGCGGCCAGCGCAACGGCGCAAUGUACCUCCAGGAGCACCAGCACACGCUCAUCCAAGACGUACGUAAUUGCAUGGCUCUCCAUGAAAAUCGCUCACGGAAUGCAAGUUUUCUCCUUCUGGUCCGAACAUUUUUUGAUGGUGCGUGCGUGCAGGCAUGGAGGAUGUGGAGCGAGGACAAGGCGGUGGAGUUCAUGGACGCGUCGCUGGCCGGGUCGUACGCCAAGGAGGAAGCGUGGCGGUGCUACCACGCGGGCCUGCUGUGCGUGCAGGAGAGCCCGGAGCUCCGGCCGACCAUGUCCAGCGUGGUGCUGAUGCUCAUCGGCGACCAGGCGCAGCUGCCGGCGCCCGAGCAGCCGCCGCUGUUCGCGAGCCCGAAGAAGGCCCCGGCGUCGGACCAGUCCUCGCUGGCGGUGAGGUCCGAGACGACGUCCAAGACGCACUCCGUCAACGACGUGUCCAUCACCAUGAUCCAGCCACGAUAG